ensembl:antisense 1700054K02Rik RIKEN cDNA 1700054K02 gene
AAGGACCUCCUAUUCUUCUCAAACAGGCUGAUCAUGUCUCCUCCAGGAAGAGCCCCUCUUAGUCAAGAGUACAAACAGCACUCUCCAUGCUGAGACUGAGCCUCUGUAUACCCUGCAGGAUGCUCAGCAACUCUGGCUCCAAGACUUGUCCACAGUAAUAAUCAGUGUACAGAUGCACAGCUUGCUGGAGGAUGUGAGCAUCCCCAGCUGAUGACUAGAUGUUGGAGACUGUGGUGGAGAGGCAGCUGAGGCCCAUGUCCUGAAACACAGCAGGUUUUCAGAUAGAUUUGGAACACUGUCCCACUAGAUCACAUGGCCAAUUUUGCUUCCUAUUCCACCUCAUUUAUUUGAGUUUAUAAAGUCUUGUACUUUGCCAUUG